UACGUAGGGUGCAAGCGUUAUCCGGAUUUAUUGGGCGUAAAGGGCUCGUGGGCGGUUCGUCGCGUCCGGUGUGAAAGUCCAUCGCUUAACGGUGGAUCCGCGCCGGGUACGGGCGGGCUUGAGUGCGGUAGGGGAGACUGGAAUUCCCGGUGUAACGGUGGAAUGUGUAGAUAUCGGGAAGAACACCAAUGGCGAAGGCAGGUCUCUGGGCCGUUACUGACGCUGAGGAGCGAAAGCGUGGGGAGCGAACAGG
rnacentral:rRNA from 1 species